UUCAAUAUGAUGACAUUUAAGACAAUGACGACAUUCAUGGCCCCACCACCGGCUGCUACAUUUCUGGCUUUUCAUCCCCAGGACAACAAUAUUAUUGCAAUUGGCAUGGAGGAUUCCUCCAUCCAAAUUUAUAAUGUUCGCGUUGAUGAGGUUAAAACAAAGUUGAAAGGUCAUCAGAAAAGAAUUACAGGCCUCGCUUUUUCUCACUCACUAAAUGUGCUCGUCUCUUC
rnacentral:misc_RNA from 1 species